AUAGCGUAUAUUAAAGUUGUUGCAGUUAAAAAGCUCGUAGUUGAACCUUGGGUCUGGCUGUCCGGUCCGCCUCACCGCGUGCACUGGUUCGGCCGGACCUUUCCUUCUGGCAAACCUCAUGCCCUUUAUUGGGUGUGGUGGGGAACCAGGACUUUUACUUUGAAAAAAUUAGAGUGUUCAAAGCAGGCAUAUGCUCGAAUACAUUAGCAUGGAAUAAUAGAAUAGGACGUGCGGUUCUAUUUUGUUGGUUUCUAGGAUCGCCGUAAUGAUUAAUAGGGAUAGUCGGGGGCAUCCGUAUUCAAUUGUCAGAGGUGAAAUUCUUGGAUUUAUUGAAGACGAACUACUG
rnacentral:rRNA from 1 species